rnacentral:rRNA from 1 species
GAUGAACGCUGGCGGCGUGCUUAACACAUGCAAGUCGAGCGAUGAAGUUUCCUUCGGGAAACGGAUUAGCGGCGGACGGGUGAGUAACACGUGGGUAACCUGCCUCAUAGAGUGGAAUAGCCUUCCGAAAGGAAGAUUAAUACCGCAUAAUGUUGAAAGAUGGCAUCAUCAUUCAACCAAAGGAGCAAUCCGCUAUGAGAUGGACCCGCGGCGCAUUAGCUAGUUGGUGGGGUAACGGCCUACCAAGGCGACGAUGCGUAGCCGACCUGAGAGGGUGAUCGGCCACAUUGGGACUGAGACACGGCCCAGACUCCUACGGGAGGCAGCAGUGGGGAAUAUUGCACAAUGGGGGAAACCCUGAUGCAGCAACGCCGCGUGAGUGAUGAAGGUUUUCGGAUCGUAAAGCUCUGU